rnacentral:pre_miRNA from 13 species
UCCCCAUGGCUCCAGAAAUCAAGGGUGGGUAAGACCUCGUGAGCAAACUUUAAGGCGACCCAUACUUGGUUUCAGGGACUGUGUGGC